rnacentral:rRNA from 1 species
AUUGAACGCUGGCGGCAGGCUUAACACAUGCAAGUCGAGCGGGGUGAUGGUGCUUGCACUAUCACUUAGCGGCGGACGGGUGAGUAAUGCUUAGGAAUCUGCCUAUUAGUGGGGGACAACAUCUCGAAAGGGAUGCUAAUACCGCAUACGUCCUACGGGAGAAAGCAGGGGAUCACUUGUGACCUUGCGCUAAUAGAUGAGCCUAAGUCGGAUUAGCUAGUUGGUGGGGUAAAGGCCUACCAAGGCGACGAUCUGUAGCGGGUCUGAGAGGAUGAUCCGCCACCAUGGGACUGAGAAACGGCCCAGACUCCUACGGGAGGCAGCAGUGGGGAAUAUUGGACAAUGGGGGGAACCCUGAUCCAGCCAUGCCGCGUGUGUGAAGAAAGCCUUAUGGUUGUAAAGCACUUUAAGCGAGGAGGAGGCUCUUUUGGUUAAUACCCAAGAUGAGUGGACGUUACUCGCAGAAUAAGCACCGGCUAACUCUGUGCCAGCCGCCGCGGUAA